rnacentral:rRNA from 1 species
AGAUACCCGGGUAGUCCACGCCGUAAACGAUGAUUACUCGCUGUAGGCGAUACACAGUCUGUGGCUAAGCGAAAGUUUUAAGUAAUCCACCUGGGGAGUACGAUCGCAAGAUUGGAACUCAAGGGAAUUGACGGGGGCCCGCACAAGCGGAGGAACAUGUGGUUUAAUUCGAUGAUACGCGAGGAACCUUACCUGGACUUAAAUGUACGUUGCAUGGAUUAGAGAUAGUCCUUUCUUCGGACUACGUACAAGGUGCUGCAUGGCCGCCGUCAG